rnacentral:rRNA from 1 species
UACGGAGGGUGCAAGCGUUAAUCGGAAUUACUGGGCGUAAAGCGUGCGCAGGCGGUUUGUUAAGUCCGUUGUGAAAGCCCCGAGCUCAACUUGGGAAUUGCAGUGGAUACUGGCAGGCUGGAGUACGGUAGGGGAAGGUGGAAUUCCCGGUGUAGCAGUGAAAUGCGCAGAUAUCAGGAGGAACACCGGUGGCGAAGGCGGCACUCUGGGCCGGUACUGACGCUGAGGAGCGAAAGCGUGGGGAGCGAACAGG